rnacentral:lncRNA from 1 species
GACAGAUUGGAAUUUUCUUUUAAAGAAAGGAAAACUGUUCCUUUACUAAAAUAGUUUGGGAAGCACUGGACUAAAUAUAUCUUAGUGAUGACCACUGGAGAAAGGAAAAUGGAAGAUAGUGAAAUUUGGCCUUCUGCAUGAGGUUCAUGGGGGUUUUCUGUCUUUCUUAUCAGCCGUCUCCACUCCUUUCUGAUAAAUCUACUCAUUUCUCUGUUGGAUUUUAAGAGAUCAGUAACGUCCCCUUUCCUCUUUCUAAUUUAAAAGCAACUGAGACACGAACACCAGAAUCAGAUAGCAGCUCAAAAUGUCAGUUAUAAAACUGAACUGGGGACGUAGCUGAGAUGUGCAACCUCAGCGGUCUUUCUAAUACUUCCCUUACCUCUCUGAAUCAGGGAGCCUCACACACCUAUUCACCAAAUUUAAUCUCUGAGAAAUUUGGGACAAGAUUCUGAGAAAAUUAGGAAACAGAGGGACAAGCUAAGGCCUGCCUCACAAGCUAACAGCGGACCACAAUAAAAUUUUUUUUUUUUUUUGAGACGGAGUCUCCCUCUGUCUCCCAGACUGGAGUGCAGUGGCCAGAUCUCAGCUCACUGCAAGCUCCGCCUCCCGGGUCCACGCCAUUCUCCUGCCUCAGCCUCCCGAGUAGCGCCUCCCGAGUAGCUGGGACUACAGGCGCCCGCCACCUCGCCCGGCUAGUUUUUUGUAUUUUUAGUAGAGACGGGGUUUCACCAUGUUAGCCAGAAUGGUCUCGAUCUCCUGACCUCGUGAUCCGCCCGUCUCGGCCUCCCAAAGUGCUGGGAUUACAGGCUUGAGCCACCGCGCCCGGCCACAUUUUUUUUUUUUUUUGUGGUCUUCCACAGCACUUCUGAUUGCCUCUAGAGUUCAUCAAAUUUCAGUUAGUGUCAACUGGCCUGGUUACUUAGGUCAUUCCUGCCUGUUGGAAUGGAAUUGGUAGAGCAGGUCCCUGAUCUCUACUAUAAACACUAUCUAUCAUUUUGGGUUGAAAAAAAAAAAACCAGUGUGGUCUUCCUUUAAUA